UACGGGGGGGGCAAGCGUUGUUCGGAAUUACUGGGCGUAAAGGGCCCGUAGGCGGCCAACUAAGUCGGAUGUGAAAUCCCCAGGCUUAACCUGGGAACUGCAUCCGAUACUGGAUGGCUUGAAUUCGGGAGAGGGAUGCAGAAUUCCAGGUGUAGCGGUGAAAUGCGUAGAUAUCUGGAGGAAUACCAGUGGCGAAGGCGGCAUCCUGGACCGGCAUUGACGCUGAGGCGCGAAAGCCAGGGGAGCAAACGGG
rnacentral:rRNA from 1 species